rnacentral:rRNA from 1 species
UAAGGAAUAUUGGUCAAUGGACGCAAGUCUGAACCAGCCAUGCCGCGUGGAGGAUGAAGGUCCUCUGGAUUGUAAACUUCUUUUAUCUGGGAAGAAACCCAUAGUUUCUACUGUGGUUGACGGUACCAGAUGAAUAAGCACCGGCUAACUCCGUGCCAGCAGCCGCGGUAAUACGGAGGGUGCAAGCGUUAUCCGGAUUCACUGGGUUUAAAGGGUGCGUAGGCGGGCAGGUAAGUCAGUGGUGAAAUCUCCGGGCUUAACCCGGAAACUGCCGUUGAUACUAUCUGUCUUGAAUAUCGUGGAGGUGAGCGGAAUAUGUCAUGUAGCGGUGAAAUGCUUAGAUAUGACAUAGAACACCAAUUGCGAAGGCAGCUCGCUACACGGUUAUUGACGCUGAGGCACGAAAGCGUGGGGAUCAAACAGGAUUAGAUACCCGCGUAGUCC